rnacentral:tRNA from 1 species
AAUAAAGUAAGCUAAGAUAAGCUAGUGGGUUCAUACCCCAAAAAUGAUUAACUCCUUUAUUA